UACGUAGGUGACAAGCGUUGUCCGGAUUUACUGGGCGUAAAGAGCGCGCAGGCGGUCGUUCAAGUCGAGUGUGAAAGCCCCCGGCUCAACUGGGGAGGGUCAUUCGAUACUGUUCGACUCGAAGGCAGGAGAGGGAAGUGGAAUUCCGGGUGUAGUGGUGAAAUGCGUAGAUAUCCGGAGGAACACCAGUGGCGAAGGCGACUUUCUGGCCUGUUCUUGACGCUGAGGCGCGAAAGCUAGGGGAGCAAACGGG
rnacentral:rRNA from 1 species